GACGAACGCUGGCGGCGUGCUUAACACAUGCAAGUCGAACGGGAGUACUUUGAAAGCUUGCUGAUAAGUACUUUAGUGGCGGACGGGUGAGUAACGCGUGAGGAGCUGUCUUAUGCAGGGGGACAACAGUUGGAAACGGCUGCUAAUACCCCAUAAGCCGAGAGGUAAAAGGAGCAAUCCGGCAGAGGAGGUACUCGCGUCCUAUCAGCUAGUAGGUUGGGUAACGGCCGACCUAGGCGAAGACGGGUAGCCGGCCUGAGAGGGCGAACGGCCAACGACUGGAACUGAGAUACGGUCCAGACUCCUACGGGAGGCAGCAGUGGGGAAUAUUGGGCAAUGGGGGCAACCCUGACCCAGCGACGUCGCGUGGGUGAAGAAAUCCUUCGGGAUGUAAAGCCCUGUUGUAUGGGAAGAGCAGAAGACGGUACCAUACGAGGAAGCCCCGGCAAACUACGUG
rnacentral:rRNA from 1 species